rnacentral:rRNA from 1 species
UUAUUAAAAACAUGGCUUGUUGAGAAUAAUUUCAAGUCUGACCUGCCCACUGAUUAGUUAAAUGGCCGCGGUAUUUUGACCGUGCAAAGGUAGCAUAAUCACUAGUUUUUUAAUUGAAAGCUUGAAUGAAAGGUUUGAUGAAAAAAUAACUGUCUCUGGAAAAAUUUAUUAAAAUUUUAUUUUUAAGUAAGAAAGCUUAAAUCUUUAUGGAAGACGAGAAGACCCUGUAGAGUUUUAUUUAUGUUUUUAUUGAUUGAAUUUAGGAAGUUUUAUUUGGGCUAUAGAAGCAUGUAUUUAGUUGGGGUGACAGAAAAAUUUGGAUAACUUUUUUUUAUGUAUAAAUAUUUAUUUGUAAGUUUAUGAUCCUAAGGUUUAGAUUAUAAGAUUAAAUUACCUCAGGGAUAACAGCGUAAUUUUUUCUAGAGUUCUUAUCGAAGAAAAAGUUUGCGACCUCGAUGUUGGAUUAAAAUUUGUUGUUGGUGUAGGAGCUAACAAACUAGGUCUGUUCGACCUUUAAAAUUUUACAUGAUCUGAGUUUAGACCGGUGUGAGCCAGGUCGGUU